UACGUAGGGUGCGAGCGUUGUUCGGAAUCACUGGGCGUAAAGGGCGCGUAGGCGGCCCGCACAAGUCUGCGGUGAAAACCCCCGGCUUAACCGGGGGCCGGCCGUGGAAACUGUCGGGCUAGAGGCCGGGAGAGGGCAGCGGAAUUCCCGGUGUAGCGGUGAAAUGCGUAGAGAUCGGGAGGAACACCGGCGGCGAAGGCGGGACUCUGGGCCGAUACUGACGCUGAGGAGCGAAAGCGUGGGGAGCAAACAGG
rnacentral:rRNA from 1 species